GAUGAACGCUGGCGGCGUGCUUAACACAUGCAAGUCGAACGGGAAUCACUUCAUUGAGACUUCGGUGGAUUUGAUUUGAUUCUAGUGGCGGACGGGUGAGUAACGCGUGGGUAACCUGCCUUAUACAGGGGGAUAACAGUCAGAAAUGACUGCUAAUACCGCAUAAGCGCACAGGACCGCAUGGUCCGGUGUGAAAAACUCCGGUGGUAUAAGAUGGACCCGCGUUGGAUUAGCUUGUUGGUGGGGUAACGGCCCACCAAGGCGACGAUCCAUAGCCGGCCUGAGAGGGUGAACGGCCACAUUGGGACUGAGACACGGCCCAGACUCCUACGGGAGGCAGCAGUGGGGAAUAUUGCACAAUGGGGGAAACCCUGAUGCAGCGACGCCGCGUGAAGGAAGAAGUAUCUCGGUAUGUAAACUUCUAUCAGCAGGGAAGAUAGUGACGGUACCUGACUAAGAAGCCCCGGCUAACUACGUGCCAGCCGCCGCGGUAA
rnacentral:rRNA from 1 species